rnacentral:miRNA from 1 species
GGAUCUAACAGUAUAAGGU